rnacentral:rRNA from 1 species
UACGUAGGGGGCAAGCGUUGUCCGGAAUCAUUGGGCGUAAAGCGCGCGUAGGCGGCCCGGUAAGUCCGCUGUAAAAGUCCAGGGCUCAACCCUGGAAAGCCGGUGGAUACUGUCGGGCUAGAGUCCGGAAGAGGCGAGUGGAAUUCCUGGUGUAGCGGUGGAAUGCGCAGAUAUCAGGAAGAACACCCGUGGCGAAGGCGGCUCUCUGGGACGGGACUGACGCUGAGGCGCGAAAGCGUGGGGAGCGAACAGG